rnacentral:rRNA from 1 species
GGAUUCUGCGGACGAAGCGGCCUAAGGCCCGGGAGAGAGGCCGGGGGUGCUUCCGCUGAGGCGCGGGUCAAAGGUGCCCUCGGACCCCGGUUAAAGCCAGGCCGCCCUCCGACGGUCUUUAUGUCAAGGAGGAUAAAGGCUAGCUACCUCGCCUCUGGCGAGGAGCGAGCGUCCGACCCGUCGGGGCAAGCUCUCCGGGGGACUAUUCCGGGUGUCGCGUGGCUCACGUCACGCCCCCGGAGCCGGUAGGCUGCUGGCCCGAGGCCAUCUCGGACAAUGGCCACUCCAGACAGCGGCGGUUCUGCUUCGGGUACUCUCCCGACCCGUCUUGAAA